rnacentral:tRNA from 1 species
GCCACCGUGGCGCAAUUGGUAGCGCACCCGACUUGUAAUCGGGCGGUUGUCGGUUCAAGUCCGACCGGUGGCUC